AGCUUGCAUCAGGCACACUGGAUCGGAUUUAUGUCAUGGACCCCCACAGGGUAUUAAUCAUUCUUUGAGGUCAUUUUCAGUUAUGAAAAGAAAUCACCAAGGAUUGGAAGUUGGCUGAUAGAACUGACAUCAGAAAGACCAUUCAAAACCAAGAGCCAGUGUCAAGAUCCUGGAUACCCUUCCUGCCAUGACUCCCAAAGUAGCCUUUUCAUGGAUCCAGUCUAGCUUGUUGGAUAAAAAGGAAUGAACAAGAGCUCACCAGCCAUCAGAAAACUGCAGCUAACCCUAGACAUAGGAAGACAGGCCUGCAGGCCAUAUCAUGAUGAAAUCCAUGGAGUUGCUAGUGGAGUCAUC